AGAGGCUUUGUCAAUGGGGGCAACCCUGAACAAGCGACGCCGCGUGGAGGAUGAAGGCCUUUGGGGUGUAAACUCCUUGUGUUGGGGCAGAAAUGCGGUCAGGCGAAUCGCCUGGUCGUGUGACGGUACCCGACGAAUAAGCUACGGCUACCUCCGUGGCAGCAGCCGCGGUAAUACGGGGGGAGCAAGCGUUGUUCGGAAUCACUGGGCGUAAAGGGCGUGUAGGCGGCCAAAUAAGUGAUAUGUGAAAUGCCUCGGCUCACCCGAGGCACUGCAUCUCAUACUGUUUGGCUUGAGUACGGGAGAGGAUGGGGGAAUUCCUGGUGUAGCGGUGAAAUGCGUAGAUAUCAGGAGGAACACCAGUGGCGAAGGCGCCCAUCUGGCCCGAUACUGACGCUGAGGCGCGAAAGCUAGGGGAGCGAAC
rnacentral:rRNA from 1 species